UGGCUGACCUUGGUUCUGAUUGUGGCUGCUCUGCGCCUCCUGUCUCCCUAGGUGGCAAGGGUCCUCAGUUUCCUCAGUGGAGAACAAUCUUGGAUCAGAUGGUAGUGAAAUAACCAGGUUCCCUUGCUUCCUUUUGAAAUGAGAAGAAAACUGAAUUGCAUCUCCUCAUGUUACCCAAGUCCAAGCUCGCUCUGCUCACCACUCAACAAGUCAAUAAAUCCGAGAGAUGAGCUGUUGAGGC